AAACUGAGGUCCCAAGUCUCUGUCCUUGAGGACACAGAUGGAUAAGUGAGGCACAAAGCAGGCUCCAAGUCUCCAAGUCUCAUGUGGAGAAGGUGAUCCACCAGGACUUUCAACCUUGGGGACAUAAGAAGAUAGAUUUAGGAUGAGGGAGAAGAAGUCUUGCCAAAAGAUCAGUUUAUUCCAUCGAAGAAACAUACAGGCUAUGAGAGGAUGUGCUCAGCAGGCUGGAGGGGUGCCUCGUGGCUCCCCUGGUGGGCUUUGACCCAGUAGACCUCUGACUUGCCCUUUGGCCUCCUCCAGCCCCUGCCCCAACCCUGCCGACUCUCUCUGAGAAGGGAACACCUCACUAGAUCCCCACCCGUGCCCGACACACAGCUGACGAUCACAGAUGAAACUGUUUCCAGCCUGUCUGUCCCCUCAGCAUUGUCUGACACAUGACAUAUACCUCACCAUAGAGCCACAUGUGCCAGUCCUUCCCACAAGAUCUCGGUGCCUUUAUACUCCCUGCAUCUGAUUGGAACGCCGACUGGCAUCUUGAGUAUUGACACACUCCCAGGACGUGUUUUCCCCAGGCGCUGGCCUGUCCUUGCCAGCGGUCCAUUUCCACUGACUUGGUAGGCUGGCACAUCCACUCCCUCAGGAAACACUGUGAAGAUUCCUCUAGUGCAGGCUCUCCGUCCUAC
rnacentral:lncRNA from 1 species